UCGGCUCCAAAAAAUCAACACCACACCACUACCUCUCCCCCUUAUCUCUUCCCCAUCCUGAUCUGAGCGGCGGCGGCGGCGGCGAUGCUGGCGCUCGCAUUCGGCGAUGCUUCCCCCACUCUGUCCAUCUCUUCCUCCCACCACUCCAUCACCAUCCCCACAUCGCUGCUUUUGUCCCAUGUGGAGGUGGUCUGUGGCGCCGAUGCUCUCACCCAGCUGCCACCGGUGGCACUUCCUGUUCGUGCCCAAGCGCCCGUUAAGGCCACCUCUCCCCUCGCUCCCAUGGCGCCAUCGCCCCAACCCAUACCCAGCUCCCUGUCCCCCCUCCCAUGGUAACAGAUCUGAGCGGGACAAGGUCCUUUCGGUCCUGGUGGUUCAGAACGAGGUAGGUGGCCUCUGCUCCCUUAUCUUCUAGCGACUAGGAGUGUGGUGGCUACCUGGUUGGUGCCCCCAUCUCUCUUAGACAUGCAUGGUGGCAACGACAUCCGUAAGCUCUCUCUCUCUCUCUCUCUCUGUGUGUGUGUGUGUGUGUGUGUGUGUGUCUGUGUGCAGAUUUUAACUCCAAGCGAUGAACCUUCCAUAGCCCAGUGGCUGGUGCCCCCAUCUCUCUACAGAUUGGUUUCUUUAAAAACCAGUUCUGCUUUGAUUCAUGGAAAUAAUUAAGUUCUUGAAGAAGGUGAAACGAACUUGAAUAGGUUUGGUGGAUGUUUGGGCAAUUACUCAACUACUAACUAAAACAGAAGGCCACUAAAACUUUAGUAGAUUUUUGUGGUUCCAGUCAUUGACACUCUGAAGAUUGCAUGGCUCAAUCGAGACAUGGUGUGUCCGCAUUUGCCUAUUUACCUCCAAGAGCAUUGCCAAUAUCAGUGUGCUUUUUGCUACAGAAAUGGAUUUUUGAGAACUUGUAGCACAUGGUGUCCUGGGAAUCCUGUCUAUGUAAAUUUCACCUGCUAGCUCAUUAUCAGGUAUGUUUAUGCAUCUAUUAAUCAUAUGAACUAUACAAACAGGGAUAGGAUACAAUUUGGAGGAACUUUGGUAGUUAAACAUCCUUACUUUCAAACUGUCAAUUUCUCUCUUUGUGUUAUGAAUGGAGUGUAGUUUAAUCCACAUCAUUUUCGGUUAUCUGAAUGACAUAAAUAUGGUGUGUGUACAAGUUUAGCAAAUAUGAUGUUUUUUGUCAUAUAAUACAUGGCAUCGGAAGUGGGCAUCCUAGGGUGUUGUUGGAUCUCUCAAGUUGGCUGCUGUUAUUCUUGUUAUUUUGCAUGAAAAUAAAGUUUCUGAAUCACCGUUCUGCUAUUUUUUGAGAAUAUACACUUAGACACUAAUUUAUCAAUAAAACAAAUUGGUAUGUUGCGUAUGAUAAAAGAAUCAGAAGCUGGAUAAAUUUUGUAUAGUCGUAUUUGUAUCAUCCAGUAGAUAAUAGCUUUUGUAUGCCCAUAUCUCAACUAAUUUAGUAAAGCAGAGCAUAGCAGGCAAUAGGCUUUGUAUUUGUAUACUCGUAGUUGAACUUAGAAUUCAAGUUUACUUUGUCACCAUAGCCCUGUAUUGAUACUCUAUUAGAUUGUCAGCAGUUUUUAUAGAAUUCUCUUGCGUAAAAGGGUGACAAUUCAUCCAUGACUUGAUGUGUUGAUAAGUUAACAUACUCUCUUGAUUUCAUUUUUCCUCUCGUGAACAGGGGAAGUGUUGGUUAUGCUAGUGUGCAUACUCACUUGGGAAGAAAUGGAAAUAGGAAAGGCGACCUUCAAUUCCUCACCUACAAUUAUGUUAUAAUUACUGAUUAGAGGCACCCUACGGGCCUUUAGGAUAAAUCCCCAUGUACAAAUGAAUUUGCAUCACCUAGAACUUUUUCACUAUCUAAUAUUCCAUACUAAUUAUCCAUUCUGAGUUAAAUCAUACAUUAAUUAGAAGGAACUAAACCAUUUGUUAGGGUGAACUAUAUGCAGCAUUGAGCAUUCUAAUUAUUCUUCUGCAUUGUUCUUUAUUUCGAUAACUAUUGUAGUGCAGGCUAAAGUGAUGGCAUGUAUGACUGGUAUAAUUUCAUCUCAAUAAUAACUAUUUUCUGCAUAGUAUAUUGGUCCCAGCCUACUUGCUUUAAAUGCCUGAUUUUGAUGGAUUUUGUUCAUGGCUUUGAUUAUACAAUCUAGAAUAUUUAACCUUUUGAGCCAAAUUCAACAGAGCAUAUCAUCCAAUACUAAGGAUUUCAAUUAUCAUGGUGUAUUCAAGUCAAAGCUAAAUAGUAGUCUGCGUCCGCCUACCUUGGCAAGGAUACCAGGUGAAUCUACUUUGCUGUUGUAGCUUCUUUCCAUCAUAUUACUCUUAUUUUUGGGGAUUUAAUUUGUUCUUAAUCCUAUUUCCAUUCUGGGUGAAAAUGCUGGAACCUUUUGGACACAUGUACAUUUUAAGUGUUCCCCCUUCCUGCCCAAAACAAUGUUAGGAACACUAUAUGCUCAGCAAUUGUACAAAGUAAAUGAUGCAUUUCCUUCCAAAUGGAUAUACAAAAAGUUGAUUGAGGGUUUCUAUGCCACAUCCAUGGCUACUGCUGGAAGUCGAUUGGCAGUCUUCAUGUAUGGAUAUGCUAUUUUUUUAGAUUAGGAAGCAAACACAAGGAUGGACUCACUAUGAGCCAUGAAGCCAGCGAUCCACAUCAACUGGAUGUUUUAGCUCUCAUUUUGUAUAACUGAUGUAUCAUAGUUGCAUCUUUUAGCUGUCCUUCUGUGAACCUGAUGUAUGGUGUCUUGACGGUUAUGUCUAGAACAGAGUGAAGUGUAUGUACGUGACAUGGUGUCUUGGUGGUUAUGUCUAGAACAGACUGAAGUAUAUGUAUGUGAUAGUUAGUUAAAUGGAAUACAAAAUGUUUGGUGCACCUAAUAUAUAGUGUC